GCCACCUUAGCUCAGCUGGUAGAGCACUCGAUUUGUAAUCGAGCGGUCGUCGGUUCGAUUCCGACAGGUGGCU
rnacentral:tRNA from 1 species